GCGUUGUUUGAAAGGAGAAAAGGUUAGCACUCCACUUGACAAGAAUGGAAGCGGUUCUAGUGACCUUCAACACAUAUGCGGUUAAAGUAUUGCCAUCUACUCUCACCGUGUUU